AGAAAUUCUCACUACAGAUGAUCAACAUAUUGGAAAUACAAAAAGCGGGUUCCCAUAAGAAACGGAUGCUAACCAUAAUUACCUGGAAACGUCUAUCGUAACAGAUGUAACAUUUCCAGCCUCUUCUCAACAUAAGUAUCUGUGAAACUUUAGGGCUUGCCAUUCCAAGAUCAACUUCUGCAAAUGCAUCAGUGGAAUAAAUGAAUCGCCUGAAAAUGGAGCCAGCAUGCGAAAGCCUUCUGAAUGUCGUCUUCACCAGGAAAAUGUUGCCUGGUUAGGAAGGAACCAUUCGAAGUGCUAAAACAGGAUAGACUUUUCCAGAUGUGCCCAUGUCCAUUUGUAGAGUGACUCUUCUAUAUCCGACACAUAUUCGGCAGCAAUCUGGAUGAUAUGGAAACUUUUUCUCAUCAUGGUAUAGGAGAGAUAAGGGUAUAUACAAAUUUAAGCACAUACUGUUUAAUAUAAACUUGUUUUUCUGGAUAAAGACGUGCUAACCACCCAUGAAGUAAUGCAACUUUCGUGAUUCCACAUGUGUCUUGAAUUGACGGCAUUCUUGCUGAAUGUGGUGAAAUUCUCAAUAAAAACCAAUUUUGGUAACGCAUGUAUAUAGUUUCUGAAUUAUCUGAAGUAUAAUUAACAAUUUUAUUAAUUAUCAGAAAUAGCCAAAGCACCGUGGUAUCUUCAAAUAUUUUUCUAAUGAAAAAUUUAUCUUAAAUUAGGAAGCAACCAUUAUUACUUGGAAACGUCUAUCAAAGUAGAAGCAGAAUUUCCAGUUAUUUGUCAACAUAAGAAUAAGACUUAGCAAGUGUUGCUGAUAUUCUUCAGAAUCAUUGAGGGUCCUCAUUGACACCAAAAGUGAGACUGCCGUCUCGGUUCCCACACUUAUGAACUAACAUCUAUUGCGAUGUAUGUUGUAAAAUGCUCACUACAGAUGACAUUGAAAUACUGGAAAUUCAAGUAUCCUUUUAUUUCCUAUUUAUAAUAUUGAAAUCACAAAGAUGACAUUAUCUAACUAUUUUAUUUAAUUUUCCAGAAAACAUUUAACUUAAAGGAGGCAAGCCAUAAUUACUCGUAAACAUCUAUUACUGAUGCAGAAUUUCCAGCUAUUUCUGAAAAUAGAAAAGCAGAGGAAAUGAAGCGCAUGCCAUCCCGAGAUCAACUUUCGUGAGUAGAGGGACCGAAAAAAUCAAUCGCCAGAGAAUGGAACAAACUUGCGACUGCCUUUUGCAUGUCUCCUCGUCACAAGUAAAAUGUUGCCAUUCCAGAAGCCUCUCUUAAAGUGCAAAAAUAGAACAAGAAAUAUUUCCAGUGACUACUUCAGUUUUUGACAUUCUCUACCAGCAAUCUGGGGGAUAGAGAAACUUUUUUUUCUCAGAAUGGUAUCGUAGAGAUAACGAUAUAUAAAUGUUGGAGUACCUUCUGCUUAUAUUGAACGUCUUUUUCUGAAUCAAGACAUGUUAUCCAUCCAUGAAGUAAAGGCUUUCGUGAUACCAUAUAGCUUUGGAAUUGACGCCGUUUAUGCUGAAUGUGAAAGCAAGUUUUCUGAUGCCAUACAGAUGCAAACUACAUAUAAUUUAUAUGGAAGCUUCUAUUAAGACAGAAGCGUGCUUUCCAGCUAUUUCUCAACACAAGAAAGUGACCUGAAUGAUUCUGAAGCGAUAUCGGCAUGUUGCAAAAAUUUUGGUUUUGAUCUAUAGUCCUGAUCUGUUUCUGACUAAGGGCGUAUCACUCAUCACCAGAAGAUACUGCUUUCUUGGUUCCACACAUGCUCUGAACUGACAGCAACUAAUCUGGAUGCUAUGAAAUACUCGCUACUAAUAUCAAAACAUUGGAAAUCCAAGUAUACAUUCAACUUCUUAAUCAAAUUAAAUAGCAAGAACAUGGCAUUUUCUAAUCAUUUUUAUUCUUGUAGAAGGCAAAUUUCCAGUAAGCUGUAAGGAGGCAAACCACAAUCAUCUGUAAAUAUCUACCAAAAGAAGCAGCGUAUCCAGCUAUUUCUCAAUACGCGAAAUGGCGAAAUUGAUGCCAUUCCGAGAUCAACUUCUGCAACUAUAGUGUCUGAAGAAAUCGGUCGAUGGAGAAUGAAUCUACCGUGUGACAGCCUUCUGCAAGUCCUCCUCACUACUAAAAUGUUGUUCUGCUAGAAGCCUCUUCAGGUGCACUAACAGAAUGAGAAAUGUCGGGUGUCUGUUAAGAACACUCUUUCAUCGAAGUGAUCCUGGAAUAACAGACAAUACCUGGACCCUUCAUCAAGCGCAUAUUGGAGUGCGGAAGCUGCACAGUUCAAUUACGGACGAAGACUAUAUUUGAAUUUAUAUUAUCAAUAUGUUCACAAGCAAAUCUCGAAAAGAACUAAUUGACUCGAUGGAAGAAACGGAUAUUGUAAAUACAGCUACAUAACAAAUUUGUAACAAAACCUAGAUUUAAUUUUCGUGGUACCUUCCUCUAUAAAUUGCAUUUGAGAACAUAUUUAUUACCGAAUUUGCUAAGAAUUGUUUGACAUGACAGAUUGCCACUAUACAAUUUUAAAAAUCUUGAAUUUCAUUACUGUAAUCUUUUUAGCCAUUAUAUCGGCAGAAUUUCUUUCCAUUUACAAACCAAUUUUAUGAAUAAAACUGCACCACUUCGUUGUAACUGAAGCCAUUUCUUGACCUUGCUUAUUUCUAAAACUUCAUUUAGUAAUUUUGAAUGACGAUUAUUAAAGAAUCCUUCAUGUUCGAAUAAGUGUUUCAUUCCUGUAUCUAUAACGAAGUUUGUGUGGAUUGCUUUUGUGAGGAUUUUGAUCUCUGUAAUGCUAGUAUCAACUAUGUAAAGGAAUUUCUUUAAAUUUCCGUUAGUUAUCAAACUCGAAAACUUGAUAAUCAGAGCUUCAAUCUAAAAGUUCAGAAUUGUACAAAAUAUAAUAUGUGGCGUUUAAUAUGUACUUGUGUUUGAUUAAUGUAUGAAAUAUUCCUUAAAGGAAAAAAUGCUUCUGUAUUAUGUAUACGAGGUAGAAAGAUGCAUUGUUAACAAAUAUAUUGGUUUUUCUAAUCUUUUGAAAUGAGGUUGAAAGUAUUGCAGUUUUUCUCUAAAUUAAAUCUUGUAUUGGCAUACAUAAAAUAAUCCCGAGUUUUGAAAAAUAAUUCAAGUACAUAGAAGUAUUAUUAAUCGCAUUU